AUCCAGCUGACGAGUCCCAAAUAGGACGAAACGAGCGUCAAAGUGGAU
rnacentral:hammerhead_ribozyme from 1 species